rnacentral:rRNA from 1 species
CACGUAGGGCGCGAGCGUUGUCCGGAUUUAUUGGGCGUAAAGAGCGUGUAGGCGGCCAGGUAGGUCUGCUGUGAAAACUCGAGGCUUAACCUCGAGCUGUCGGCGGAAACCAUCUGGCUAGAGUCCGGAAGAGGAGAAUGGAAUUCCCGGUGUAGCGGUGAAAUGCGCAGAUAUCGGGAAGAACACCCGUGGCGAAGGCGGUUCUCUGGGACGGUACUGACGCUGAGACGCGAAAGCGUGGGGAGCGAACAGG